AGGGAAUCUUCCACAAUGGACGAAAGUCUGACGGAGCAACGCCGCGUGAGUGAUGACGGCCUUCGGGUUGUAAAGCUCUGUUAAUCGGGACGAAAGGCCUUCUUGCAAAUAGUUAGAAGGAUUGACGGUACCGGAAUAGAAAGCCACGGCUAACUACGUGCCAGCAGCCGCGGUAAUACGUAGGUGGCAAGCGUUGUCCGGAAUUAUUGGGCGUAAAGCGCGCGCAGGCGGAUUGGUCAGUCUGUCUUAAAAGUUCGGGGCUUAACCCCGUGAUGGGAUGGAAACUGCCAAUCUAGAGUAUCGGAGAGGAAAGUGGAAUUCCUAGUGUAGCGGUGAAAUGCGUAGAUAUUAGGAAGAACACCAGUGGCGAAGGCGACUUUCUGGACGAAAACUGACGCUGAGGCGCGAAAGCCAGGGGAGCGAACG
rnacentral:rRNA from 1 species